CCACAUUCUUAGCAUUAUGCGUAAAGAGGUUAGGAAUCCAUUCCUUCAGCGAUAUUUUAAAAAAAAUCAAACAUAAAUAAAUACUGUCGCCGUUCGAAUUGCCGCGUCGAUCCAAGUGAUGCCUGAAAUUGCAAAGGGCUAAUAUCAAUGGAUCAAUGGAUUCGAUAAUACGGGAAAUACAAAAACGUGGUCGCAUAUCAAACGCUCUCCGGCACGCAUCGCACAUUACAUUCGUUCGUCGAGGCACGAAGCCUCCCCUCCCUUCCUUCUCUCGCCAUCACCACGUGCGUUCAGCCACCAAGCGGCUCUUCCCAUCAUUACUACGUAUAUGUAUAAUAUAUACAUAUAUAGUAUAUGUAUAUAUGUAUACACGAAACCACGUUGUUUAUAUUUUAUACUAGAUAUAAAAAAUCGCAAGUACAAACGAUUCUGUUUCUUAA